AUAUUCCUUGGACUUAUCGUUUAAUCGUAUAACAUUUAUAUGAGACGGCUCAAACAAUAAUAUUUGCCCUUGAUAUUAAACUAGAUUAGUUUAACAUGUGAAAUGUCCGUAAAGUAUCAUCAUAUGAUUGGUUUUAGGGCACAUUUCCAACAAUCUCCCACUUGCACUAGAGCCAAUCAACUUGGUCAUCAGUGAUGAUACCUCUUCUAUAGUCAUUUCAUAAAUGGCUGAGUAGUAGGCCUAGACAAUGGAUAUCUAUAUGUUAUCCAUAGAAGCAACCUUGAGAAUAACGACGUCACCAUUAUACAUGAUUCUUAAUCAUGUGGUUCAGUCUCUCAUUUGAGUUCGGAUCUUGAUGAGACCUUGAUUCCCUGGCUUGAGCUAUCGCCCCACUAGUGUCGUAGUGUCGGUACACUAGAGACACUUUCUGGUUGGAACCGAAUAGAGAGUUCAUAAAUGAACUUUCCCAUCCAAACAACAUUGUUGUAAGCUUCUAUAUGGCAAUAUAUUUUGCAUUCAUAAUGGAACACACUAAAGUCAUUACUUUUAAUGUUUCCAUCCAAAUAUCUCUUUAGUCAUAAUAAAGAGAUAUCUGAUUAUCUCUUCAUUCAUAAUAAAGAAAUAUCCAAUGAUGGAUUAGAUUCAUAAUCUAAUACAUUUACGCUUCCAUUACGUUACUCUAAUUCUUCCUCAUUCUUUGAGGAAUCUAUCCUUUAGUAUUUCUUAAAUACUUAAGGACACACUUGACAGUUGCCGUGGUUCUGAUCCUGGGCUUGCACUAAUAUCGUCUUGUACCUUUCUAGGUACAACUCAUAUCAAUGUUUUUCAUACAAUAUGAAAUACAUAAAUCACCUCUCUGCGUAUGCAUAAAGGAUUCUAUUUACGCAUUAUUUCUUUGGGAGUCAAAGGGUACGUUCCCUUUAAGAAGGGCAACUUGCUAGUCUCACUAGAGUCGUCCCUCUAAUUGAAGUUUAUCAUCAUAUGAGAAACUUCCUAGCAUCUCUUGUCUAUUAUUAGGGCUUGAUAUAAUCCAAUUAUAUCCUAAAAUCUAUCAAUAUAGAUUUCCAUCCUAUGUAUAUAGAUUAUGUCUCCCAUAUACAUUCUAUCUUCAUAUAAUGUUUUAAAGUCAUAACUUUAACGAAGAAGUAUUCUUUUCAUUUCCAAAAUCAAUAUAUCAUAUAUUUGUGUAUAUAUAUAUAUAUAUAUAUAUAUUCAAAUUUAGGAACAUGAUUAACUCCCACUAAUCUUUUGUAAACCUAGUAAACAAAAGAUUCAUUUAUAUAUAUAUAUAUAUAUUCAAAUUUAGGAACAUGAUUAACUCCCACUAAUCUUUUGUAAACCUAGUAAACAAAAGAUUCAUUUACAUCUUUAUGAGAAAUCAAACGUUUUGAUCUUUCUCUCAUAAGACGUUUACAGCUCCCAUUAGCUUGCUAAGAUCCAUGAUGGUUGGAUCUCUACAACUUACAUGUCUUGUGAUUCAUAGUUUUAGACAUAUAUUAUCAAGACUAUCUUAAUAAUGGUUUCGGAAACCUAUAUUAUGUCCAAACAUUGAAUCACUAUUUAGUUGUAGCUAGCAAUCUUCGAAUUAAUUGAAAACAAAGACUACGUCAAAGAUGGUUUUCUUCAAAGUCAACCAUUCUCUUUGAUUGUAGUCACCUUAAGCUACCAAUUAGCUAUUUAAGGUUUCAUUAUUUUGGGUCAAAUGGUACUUUACCAUUUCCUUGAGUAUAUAUCGUAUAUACACUCAAUGUAGUCAUAAGGAUUUUCAUUCUUAUUUCUUUCGAAUUAAGAGGUGUAACUCUAUGACAUAGUCAUAAAGUUCAAACCAUUCAACUGAGACGAUUUAUAAAUCCUUCUCGACUACCUUGGAGCUUGUGGUAUAGGAACUAGGUUGUUAUAUUU
rnacentral:lncRNA from 1 species